rnacentral:rRNA from 1 species
UACGUAGGGUGCAAGCGUUGUCCGGAAUUAUUGGGCGUAAAGGGCUCGUAGGCGGUCCAUCGCGUCGGGAGUGAAAAGCUGGGGCUUAACCCCAGUCCUGCUUCCGAUACGGGUGGACUAGAGGUAGGUAGGGGAGAUCGGAACUCCUGGUGUAGCGGUGAAAUGCGCAGAUAUCAGGAGGAACACCGGUGGCGAAGGCGGAUCUCUGGGCCUUACCUGACGCUGAGGAGCGAAAGCAUGGGGAGCAAACAGG